UACGGGGGGGGGCAAGCGUUGUUCGGAAUUACUGGGCGUAAAGGGCGCGUAGGCGGCCCUCUAAGUCGGACGUGAAAUCCCUCGGCUCAACCGGGGAACUGCGUCCGAUACUGGAGGGCUUGAAUCCGGGAGAGGGAUGUGGAAUUCCAGGUGUAGCGGUGAAAUGCGUAGAUAUCUGGAGGAACACCGGUGGCGAAGGCGGCAUCCUGGACCGGUAUUGACGCUGAGGCGCGAAAGCUAGGGUAGCAAACGGG
rnacentral:rRNA from 1 species